GUACUACUCCCUCCGUUCCGAAUUACCCGUCGCAGAAAUAGAUGUAUCUAGAACAGAUGUAUCUAGAACUUAUAGUUCUAGAUACAUCUAUUUCUGCGACGGGUAAUUCGGAACGGAGGGAGUAGUAC
rnacentral:pre_miRNA from 1 species